rnacentral:misc_RNA from 1 species
AAAAUAUUUGAACCUCAAAGACAGCUUAUCACUUACUUCAUUGACAGUCCUUUAUUUACACAAAAAAAAAAUCUGCAAUUGAAUCAAGAAAUUAUAAAAAGAACAACAACCAGAUUGAUAUAAAAGCCAAAAAAAAUAUCACAUGCACUCCAAAUCUGCUAACCAAAUCAAUCUCUGCUUAAGAUUGCUCAAUUGAGCUCAAUACACCUUUCAAUCAACUCAAAAACAAAUCUUCUGCACCAAUUUAUCGAAAUCUCUAUAACUUAAGCACGAAAUUAGAAAAUGAAAAACACCCAUAUAAGAAAAAACCCAAAAGCACAAUCCCCACUUCAGAUACAAGCUUUCAAUUAACUCAAAAUCAAAUCUUAACACACUAAAAUUACUGAAAUCUCUAUAAUCAAAGCACAAAAUUAGAAAACAUCAAACACCCAGAUAAGGAAAAACUCAAAACCACAAUACCCACUUCAGAUACAAGCUAUCAAUUAACUAAAAAAACAAAUCUUUCACACUAAAUUUACUGAAAUCUCUAUAAUCGAAGCACAAAACUGGGAAAAGGUAAAACACCCACUUCAGAUACAGCUUUCAAUUAACUCAAAAACAGAUCUUUUGCACAAAAAUGGAAAAUCACCCCCAAAAUCACAAUACCCACUUCCCAAAAUAGCAAAA